ensembl:lncRNA
AUGUUGAAAUCCAGAGACAAGAUAACUUCAUUCUUUUGAGACUGAUGUAAGUUAAAUUAUUAUUACUUUUUUUUUAGAAAAUUAAUGUUUUUGUUGUGUCCUGCCUGUUAACUUCACAUUUUGAUGCAAAAACAGUGUGAUUUUAUAUAUGUAUGUAUGUAUAUGUUAAUAUUUUAUUGAAACCAUUGAUGCCCCUCUUUGCAGAACUCAAACUAACUGGAGUUAAGGACACACAAGUCUGCUUGUGUGAGGAGGUGGUUUUCUCAGCUUCUUCUGAAGAGAGGGAAAGAUCGUAUAAGGCCACUGAUGAAGAGCAGGCGGUGACUGGGAUGAAUCCUGGUCAGAGAGGAGAAUCUUCUUUCCCCUAAACUGAUGCAGCAGUGGUUUUAAAGGAGGACGCUGCCCUGGAUGAUGUAGAAGAUGUCACAUGCUGUGCUGAUGCGGUUUCUUCAUGAUUACAUCAGUUAUGCUAAAGAGAUCAUGAAAAUUGACCGUGAUGCAUGAUCUGUAUUCAUGGACUUUGAAACAAACUGUAAGUGUAUAAUUUGUUAAAAAAAAAAAAGUUAAAUGCUUUUUCUGCGUUGUUUAGUAGAAGAGUUUACACUCUGUCAUUCAUACACCUGCUCACAUUCUUUCACACACACACACACACACACACACACACACACACACACACACACACACACACAUGCGUCUGUUAAAUGUUAUAAUAUCAAAGUUAAUGUUGUGAUUUAUUUGUGUACUGUCAUGCCAGAAUAGUUGGAAAAAAACCUAACUAAUUGUAAAUUUAUUGUAUGUGUUUUCGUAUAUUUUUAUACAAUAUAUACAAUUGAACAAAGUCCAAUUUGAUCUUAAGUUAUAUUCAUCAAAUUUUCAAUGCUUUGUUUAUGAACUCUGUAGCUGUUAAUGCCAUCCUUUUCUGCAUUUCUUCUAACAUGUUACUUUUUGACUUUUCUCUUGUUUUUAAUAAAUAUUUUCCUUUUGGUAAUUAUUAUUUGUGUGUAAAAGUGAUAUUUAAAAUGAACAACAUUUGUAGGUUUAAUGCCUAGCUCAAUUUGGGUUAAUUUUAACGUAGAAAUGCAUUGUUACCCCACAUGGCUGCACUCUGCGAGUUUAUUUUCUGCCAGCAGGAGGCGCUAAGAGCGGGAGAGGUAGGUUUCUCCGGUAACGGCUGCAGAGCGGUGCUGAGCUCACGAAUGCUGCCUUAUCAACAGUGUUGGGCAAGUUACUUUUAAAAAGUAAUUAGUUACAGUUACUAGUUACUUCUUCCAAAAAGUAACUAAAUUAGUAACUCAGUUACAAAUUUUUAAAGUAACUAGUUACUUAAGAAAGUAACUAUUGCGUUACUUUCAAGUAAAAUUACAUUUUAAAUGCUCAAACGUGACCCCACCUCUACCCCUCUUUAAAGGAACUUAAAAUACAUGUGCAUGUUCAAUUAUUUAUGAUAAAUCUGAAUAUUAUAAUGAAAUGGACACUUAAUACAAUACAUUAUUAACAGAAACAUGAAACAUUGUACACACAUCUAAAAAAAAAAGUUGCUGUGGGACAAAGUGAGACUAGCCUCCAAUCAAAUGGCAUGUAUGUAGAUAUUAUGUUUAUAUAGUGGAUCAAUGCAAAUAACACGAUAGAUUUUUGGGAACUUUUGAUAUUUCCUUUUAUUGUUUCUUUAAUUUCUUGAAGGAAAAAGUACGCACGCAUUUUCUCUUGUUUUUAAUAAAUAUUUUCCUUUUGGUAAUUAUUAUUUGUGUGUAAAAGUGAUAUUUAAAAUGAACAACAUUUGUAGGUUUAAUGCCUAGCUCAAUUUGGGUUAAUUUUAACGUAGAAAUGCAUUGUUUCCCCACAUGGCUGCACUCUGCGAGUUUAUUUUCUGCCAGCAGGAGGCGCUAAGAGCGGGAGAGGUAGGUUUCUCCGGUAACGGCUGCAGAGCGGUGCUGAGCUCACGAACGCUGCCUUAUCAACAGUGUUGGGCAAGUUACUUUUAAAAAGUAAUUAGUUACAGUUACUAGUUACUUCUUCCAAAAAGUAACUAAAUUAGUAACUCAGUUACAAAUUUUUAAAGUAACUAGUUACUUAAGAAAGUAACUAUUGCGUUACUUUCAAGUAAAAUUACAUUUUAAAUGCUCAAACGUGACCCCACCUCUACCCCUCUUUAAAGGAACUUAAAAUACAUGUGCAUGUUCAAUUAUUUAUGAUAAAUCUGAAUAUUAUAAUGAAAUGGACACUUAAUACAAUACAUUAUUAACAGAAACAUGAAACAUUGUACACACAUCUAAAAAAAAAAGUUGCUGUGGGACAAAGUGAGACUAGCCUCCAAUCAAAUGGCAUGUAUGUAGAUAUUAUGUUUAUAUAGUGGAUCAAUGCAAAUAACACGAUAGAUUUUUGGGAACUUUUGAUAUUUCCUUUUAUUGUUUCUUUAAUUUCUUGAAGGAAAAAGUAAUGUAUAUACUUCUAUUUAGAGAAGGCUACUUUUGGAUUAUUUGGGCUCGUCGCCAUACCUGUCUCUGGUUGACUGACUGGCUUGUGGUGUUCGUUGUGUGUCCUGUCCUGUCCGAUGAUGGGUCGUUCGCGAAUGAGCGUUAGUGAUGAUGGAUCGACUCGUUCGCGAAUGAGCUUUUGAUGAGUCGUUCGCGAUUCGCGAAUGAGCCGACUCUAAGAGCCGGCUUUUUUAGUUGAACUUCGGAAGCUGGCUCGCAUAUCUGAAGAGCCAACUCUAUUUUUUCAAAUUUAGCCUAUAGAAAUUAAAUAAUUAUGUAAUAAAAAUUGAAAUAUUAUAGUCAAAGUCAUUUAAAGAGCCGUUUGUGAGCCAAAGAGCCGGCUCUUUUCAGUGAGCUGAGUCAAAAGAGCCGAAUUCCCAUCACUACUAUGCGUGCUUUCGAAAACCCGCCCAACUCUACCUCUGAUUGGCUUACAAUGAAAUUUUACUCUACCUCAGCCAAUCGUCAGCAUUUAUGCGCUUGUCUCGUGCUCUGCCCACUAACCAAGGAAGAACAGUAAAAAAAAGUAUUUGCCUCUCGCUCAGAGAUCUAGUUGGUCUGAUGAAAAAAAAAAACAGCUUCAUCAUCAGUUAUAGUAACGCGCCGCAUUUUUUGGCAGUAACGGUAACGGCGUUAUUAAGAUGAGAAGAGUAAUCAAUUAGAUUACUCGUUACUGGAAAAAGUAAUGCCGUUAGUAACGCCGUUAUUUAUAACGCCGUUAUUCCCAUCACUGCUUAUCAAGCACAUGCGAAAUGAUAUCGAACAUUUUCUAAAUACAGUAGUUUUCCUUCUGAAAUACAGUGAUAAAAAAACACCCGCUCUGUUUUUUGAAACCCUGCAAUAUAGUCAUUUUAAACCAUAAAAAAGGCAACCCAGCAGGCUGGGUUAAAUAUGAUAACCCAACUGGUUGGGUUAAAACAACCCAGCGCUGGGUUCGUCCCUUUUUGACCCAGCGCUGGGUUGUCAAAAUAACCCAAAUUGGGUUGUUUUCAACCCAGCAGUUUUUAGAGUGUAUAUUUGUUUAUUUAAUAACCACACGCGUGUGUCCUAUUUUUUCCCCUAGACGUCAGUUUCUUUUGUUGUUUAUUUGGUUUGAUAAUAAAUUGCUUUAUUGUUAAAGAAUUUGUUGUCUGCCUCUUUUAUGUUGCGGUCUACGAGCCAGCCGUAACAUAAAAAUGGGGCCUCGUUCGAGAUUUUUUUUUAGCUUUUUCUGAGGGAGUAUUUUUAUUGUCUCUUCAGGAUUUCUGAAAGAGUCAGUUUUCACUCCGGUUAGUUAGAGUGUUUCAGCUGGGCUGUGUGUGAGCGGUCCUUCCAUCGGAACACUGUUUGUUGUUUUGUUGAUUUUGUUUUGUAUUUUAUUUGGAGUUUUCUGAAGGAAAUCCUGGGUGGGGGUACGCUUCUCGCGCAGCUAAACUCAUUUGGAGUAUGGUUGUUACGAGGUUCAGCGUUUCAAGUCGCCUCGAGCCCGGCAGUCCUUUGAAGACUAGCUAGGAUAUAGUUUCAACAGGCAGGUAUAUCGGAGAUGUAAAGCUGAUUGAAAUCCUGGUGAGUACUUUAUAUUUCUCCCUGAUUUGUUUAAUUUUAUUACAAAGAGCAUGUUUUCGCGUGUUAAGUUGCCCAUUUAUAUAGGAAUUAGAUGAUUGUGUAGACCGGUUAAAAUAUAAAAUUUAAUUAGUUUACACGACAAUCUUCUGUUGGGGACAAUAGAGCUGAUCGAUGAAGCAGAUACAUUUGAAACAGCUGUUGUAACCUAAUGAGAAUGACCGAUUGUCUACUGAAGUAAAUUAGUACUGCAUCGAGUGGUUAUACAGAGCUUAUAUUCCUAUUAAAAUUGUGCAUUUAUCGUCCUCCUUAUAACACUGAAAUUGUUGCAGUGACUGUGUGAUUUAAUUUGAAGAAUAAAAACAGGAUUUAUGUCUUGGGCUUAUUAAUUCACUUGAUCUUUAUGAGGGUUCUAGUGUUAUAGUGGAUUGAGCUAGGUAAUUGAAUAAUUAUUUGUUUAGGCUGUUUUCUGACACUGGUUUUGGAAGUGUGUUAUCAGAAUUAUUUGGUUUUAUUGUGGUCAACUUAUUAACUAAUCUUCAUU